rnacentral:rRNA from 1 species
UGCCAGCCGCCGCGGUAAUACGGAGGGUGCAGGCGUUGUUCGGAAUUACUGGGCGUAAAGCGCACGUAGGCGGAUCAGAAAGUAUGGGGUGAAAUCCCAGGGCUCAACCCUGGAACUGCCUCAUAAACUCCUGGUCUAGAGUUCGAGAGAGGUGAGUGGAAUUCCGAGUGUAGGGGUGAAAUUCGUAGAUAUUCGGAGGAACACCAGUGGCGAAGGCGGCUCACUGGCUCGAUACUGACGCUGAGGUGCGAAAGUGUGGGGAGCAAACAGGAUUAGAUA